AGCGGAGGAAAAGAAACUAACAAGGAUUCCCUUAGUAACGGCGAGUGAACCGGGAAAAGCUCAAAUUUGUAAUCUGGCUGUCUUCGAUAGUCCGAGUUGUAAUCUAUAGACGUGUUUUCCGUGCUGGACCGUAUCUAAGUCCCUUGGAACAGGGUAUCAAAGAGGGUGACAAUCCCGUGCUUGAUACGACCACCAGUGCUCUGUGAUACACGCUCUACGAGUCGAGUUGUUUGGGAAUGCAGCUCAAAAUGGGUGGUAAAUUCCAUCUAAAGCUAAAUAUUGGCGAGAGACCGAUAGCGAACAAGUACCGUGAGGGAAAGAUGAAAAGCACUUUGGAAAGAGAGUUAAACAGUACGUGAAAUUGUUGAAAGGGAAACGAUUGAAGUCAGUCGUGUUCUUUGGAUUCAGCUAGUUCUUCUAGUCUACUUCCUUUGAACGGGUCAACAUCAGUUUUGUCCGGUGGAUAAAGAUAGUAGGAAUGUAGCUCCCUCGGGAGUGUUAUAGACUAUUAUUGCAUGCACUGGGUGAGACUGAGGACUGCAGCUCGCCUUUUGGCCGGCCUUCGGGUACGUCGAGCUAGGAUG
rnacentral:rRNA from 1 species